AGGACGAACGCUGGCGGCGUGCUUAACACAUGCAAGUCGAGCGGUAAGGCCUUUCGGGGUACACGAGCGGCGAACGGGUGAGUAACACGUGGGUGAUCUGCCCUGCACUCUGGGAUAAGCCUGGGAAACUGGGUCUAAUACCGGAUAUGACCUGCUCUCGCAUGGGGGGUGGGUGGAAAGAUUUAUCGGUGCAGGAUGGGCCCGCGGCCUAUCAGCUUGUUGGUGGGGUAAUGGCCUACCAAGGCGACGACGGGUAGCCGACCUGAGAGGGUGACCGGCCACACUGGGACUGAGACACGGCCCAGACUCCUACGGGAGCAGCAGUGGGGAAUAUUGGACAAUGGGCGAAAGCCUGAUCCAGCCAUGCCGCGUGUGUGAAGAAGGUCUUCGGAUUGUAAAGCAACUUUAAGUUGGAGGAAGGUUGUAACCUAAUACGUUGCAACUUUGACGUUACCGACAGAAUAAGCACGGCUAACUCGUGCCAGCAGCCGC
rnacentral:rRNA from 1 species